GGCUCAUAACCUCUUGUGCAGGUGCUGGGUCAGGGCCUGUUUCCGGUAGUGGUAGCCUGCUGAGGGCGUCCGCAUGGCCCAUCGCCUUCCCGGGGCGGUGAAUCAGUGCAUACUGGUAGCUGGCAAGGAAAAUUGACCACCUGAGGACGCGAGGAGACAGCACUUGGGGGGUCUGCUUUUCGGGGGCAAACAAGCCAAGCAAUGGCUUGUGGUCAGUCACCACGGUGAAGGGCCGCCCGUACAAGAAAUCAUGGAAUUUUUUUACUCCCUUCACGAUUGCCAGACCCUCCUUGUCUAUUUGCGAGUAGUUCCGCUCGGUUGCGUUGAGUGUCUGGGAAAAGUAUGCCACCGGUACCUCUCUUCCAUCCGGGAGUUGGUGUCCCAGGACAGCGCCAAUGCCAUAGGGCGAGGCGUCGCAUGCUAGCACCACCGGCAGCCUCUCGUCGAAGUGUGCCAAGACCGAGUUUGAGACAAGCAAGUCCUUGACUGCCUGGAAUGUGGCCUCCUGGCACUGGCCCCACACCCAAGGGGCCCGCUUGUCCAGGAGUCUGUGUAGGGGCUCCGCUACCGCCGCCUUGUGGGGAAGGAAGGAAUGGUAAAGUUCAAUAGUCCCAAGAAGGCCUGAAGUUCAGUCUUGCUCUUGGGCGCUGGGGCAUCACAAAUGGCCCGUACCUUGUCCCCAGUCGGGUAGACCCCUUCUGCGUCCACCAUAAAUCCCAGAAAAUCCACCUGAGGCACUCCUAGUAGACAUUUUUCCCGCUUCACCAGACCCGCCGUCUGGAAACGGUGCAGAACGGUGCGGAGGCAGUCCUCAAACUCCUCUGGUGUGGGCCCGGCAAUCAACACACCAUCGAAGAAGGGGGUGACGCCAGGAAUCCCUUUAAGGAGAGAGUCCAUUAGAUUCUGGAAUAUGCCUGGUGCCACACUGACACCGAAUUGCAGCCGCUUUACCCUGAACGCUCCUCUGUGCGUCACAAUCAUCUGUGCCUCUUCUGUGGCCUCAUCUACUGGCAGCUGUUGAUAUGCUUGGGCCAAGUCCAGCUUGCCAAAAUUUUUCGACCCAGCCAGGGUGGCAAGGACAUGACUGACCACUGGCACUGGGUAUGCAUGGGCCGUGAGGGCCUUGUUUAUGGUACAUUUGUAGUCUGUGCAGAUGCGGACCGAACCAUUAGGCUUGACGGGUGUGACGAUUGGGGUUUCCCAGGGGGCAUUAGGCACCGGCUCCAGCACUCCUUGCUCCAUGAGCCGGUCCAAUUCCUCGUCUAUACGGGGUUUCAGGGCGAACGGGACCUGGCGGGCCUUGAGCCUGACUGGUUGUACUGCGGGGUCAAGCUGUAGAGCAAUGGGGGGGCCUGUAUACUGUCCCAAUUUCCCAUUGAAAACCCCUGGAAAUUCCUUGCAUAUGGCAUCCACGUCCUCUUGUAAGCUAGUGUGGUUCACCCCAGUGAUGGCUAGCCCCAGUGGUCCAAACCAUGCCAAUCCCAGUAAGCUAAUGUAGGGGCCCUUGACCACAAGCAAGUCCCGUUGCUGCGUCUGCCCUCGGUAUUGCACCCUGAAGGUCCCCACCCCCAUUGUGGGGACCUUACGUUUCUGGAAGUCCCGGAGGGUGAAUGGGGCCGGCCUGAGUUUGGGACCCCCAGUAGGACACAGUUUCCUUAAGGUCCUUUCCGAGAUUAUGGAUAGAGUUGAACCCGUGUCAAGCUCCAUGCGGCAUGGAGCCCCCUCUAUCUGUACCUCUACAUAAAUUUUCUCUACGUUGGGGUGGGGCAAUAAUAAUAAUAAUAAUAAAUUUUAUUUAUAUCCCGCCCUCCCCAGCCAAAGCCAGGCUCAGGGCGGCUAACAACAAAUAAAUAAUCAAACAAUUAAAUAAUCCAACAUUCUAAAACAUUUCAUUAUAAAAAUUAAUUAAAAUCAAAUUAAUGGCAGCCGUUGAGCAAAGUUCUGUGCAGGUUGCCGGAGGUGGAGUCAGGCUGGGCCCUGACCAAAGGCCUGGUGGAACAACUCUGUCUUGCAGGCCCUGCGGAAAGAUGUCAGGUCCCGCAGGGCCCUAGUCUCUUGUGACAGAGCGUUCCACCAGAUUGGAGCCGCAGCCGAGAAAGCCCUGGCUCUAGUUGAGGCCAGCCUAACCUCUCUGAGGCCUGGGACCUUCAGGAUGUUUUUAUUUGCAGACCGUAGGUUCCUCUGUGGGGCAUACCAGGAGAGGCGGUCCCGUAGGUACGAGGGUCCUAGGCCGUAUAGGGCUUUAAAGGUUAAAACCAGCACCUUAAACCUGAUCCUGUACUCCACCGGGAGCCAGUGCAGCUGGUAUAGUACCGGAUGAAUGUGAUCUCGCAGCGAAGACCCCAUAAGGAGUCUCGCCGCGGCAUUCUGCACCCGCUGGAGUUUCUGGGUCAGUCUCAAGGGCAGCCCCACGUAGAGCGAGUUACAAUAAUCCAGUCUGGAGGUGACCGUCGCGUGGAUCACAGUGGCUAGGUCAGGGCGAGAGAGAUAAGGGGCCAACUGCUUAGCUUGGCGGAGAUGAAAAAUGCCGCCUUUGUUAUAGCUGUAAUCUGCGCCUCCAUAGAGAGGGAGGUAUCGAAGAUUACACCCAAACUCUUAACGGACGGUGCUGGCACUAAUUGCACCCCGCAAGAGAUGGGAGUUGCCCCCAAUCCCAUAUCGUCCCGUCCCAGCCAGAGGACCUCUGUCUUCGAAGGAUUUAACUUCAACCGGCUUCGCGUAACCAUCCAGCCACAGCUUCCAAACAUCUGGUCAGUGUGUCUGGGGCCGAGUCAGGAUGGCCAUCCAUCAACAGAUAGAGUUGGGUGUCAUCAGCAUACUGAUGGCAACCCAGCCCAAAACUCCGGACAAGCUGGGCGAGGGGGCGCAUAAAGAUGUUAAAAAGCAUCGGGGAGAGUAUCGCAACUGGUAUACCUGGAAGUCCGUGAGCUCCGUCGAGUUGCCUUGGUGCGUUGGGCCCUGGGACCUGGGGCUCUUGGAUUGGUCAUCUGAUGCCUGGCGUCGGGUGGGCCGAGCUCGACACACCCGGGCGAUGUGUCCUGAUUUUCUGCACUGCCUGCACUCUGCGUUGCGGAAACGGCAGGUUCUCCUCUCGUGACUUUCCCCGCAGCUUGCGCAGUUCCCUCCUUCUCGUCGAGGCAGCUGUGGUAUGUGGGCUGCUUGAGUGUGCUGCUGUACUCAGUGCACCUCCUCCCUGUCAGAUCCUGAGUCGUCGGUGAGGUCUUCGUGGUGGACCCUCGAUUGGGAUGGCAGGCUCGGCCGUGCCUCUUGUGUCGACCUCUCGGCAGCUUCCGUUGCCAGGGCCUCCUCCAGAGUGACCUGGAACGUUAGGUCCUUCUUAGCGUAGAGGCGUUGUUGCAGCUUCUCAUCCUUCAGGCCACUGACGAGGCGGUCACGAAGCAUGUUCUCCAGCUCUGAGAAGUUGCAGAACCGGGUGGCUUGGCAGAGAGAGGUCACAAACCCAGUUAUGGUUUCCCCAGGGGCUUGCCGCUUUGCGUAGAAGGCAUUUCGACGAGCCACCACUGAGGGCUGCGGCGAAAAGUGCCCCUUCAGCUGUUCCAUUAUUGUUUUGUAUGGAACAGUAGCGACGUCUUCAGGCGCAAGGAGAGCCCGGGCGAUUUCAAACGUCUCCUCUCCGCAGACGCUGAAGAAUAUCGCCCUCUUCUUGGCGUCUUCUUCAUCGGUGACCCCUUUGCCUUCUAGGAGGAAGGUGAAACGGGAGGCGUACGCUUCCCAGUCUCCAGAUGCUGGGUUGAACGGCGAGAAGCUGCUGUUGGUUGCCAUUCUGAGUUCCUUGUGUCCCGGAGCUGAAGCCUGGAUACACGGUGCGAGGCAGCGGUGCGGCAGGUGGCAGUGCUGUGGUGCUGUGUGUGGCAGUCAGCUCAGCGGGAUCCCACCUCCAUCGCCAGUGAAAUAUACUCAGAGUCGCAAAGUGAUUUCAUGCUCUUUAUUCAGCUCAUCGUGGUGAGGAGGAAUGAAUGAAUGUCCCCUCAAAGUAUCUGCUUUAUAUACAUUAUUUACACAAUGGACUGCACAUGAUUGGCUAAUUCUGGAAUUCUACUGUAAGCCAAUCAGGUUGUGGAUUCACUUAUAUCUGGAGCAUGAUUGGGUGGUUCCUGCCAACCAGUCAUACUGCUGCAUUGUUCUAGGACCAAUCAGACUGCUGCAUUCUGAAUCCUAUUGUUCUAGGACCAAUCAGACUGCUGCAUUUUGGAUCCUAUUGUUCUAGGACCAAUCAGACUGCUGCAGUUUGGAUCCUAUCCAACUAAGUACAUAGCAAAAAUAUUUUUAAAGAGAAAGGAAAUAGGGCUGGGAAGAUAGGAGGGACGUGUUCUCAGGGCCCCUCGAGUGCAGACGGGCCUCCUGGUCAGCUGAUGAUGGCAGAUGAGCAUCUCAGUCUAUCUCUCUCUCUGUGUGUGUGUGUGUGUGUCUGUCUGUCUCUCUCUGGGCUACCUUAUACCAACCAAGUCAAAAUACUAGCCCCGCUAGCUCAGCAUUGUCUGCACACUGACUGACAGCAGCUCUUCGGGGUUUCAGACAGGGGAUAUUUCCAGUGGUGGUUUUCCAUGUGUGAAAUGCCAUUUUCUAGUAAUGUGUGCCCACCACUGCAGACCCUCCACGUGUCCCUAUUUUCCAGAGACAUCCCUGAUUUAGAGAAGCUGUCCCAGUUUCUGAUUUGAUCCUGAAAUGUCCCGCUUUUCCUUAGGACGUCCCUAUUUUCACUGGAGAAAUGUUGGAGGGUAUGGAGUUUUUCAACUCCCGAGCUGUCUGAAGGCAAUUCUGAAUAGGGUAGUUUUUUUAAAAAAAAUGUUUAAGGUUUUAUUAUGUUUUUAUAUAUGUUGGAAGCUGCCCAGAGUGGCAGUAAAAUUAUCAUUAGGGAAUGUGAGGUCCCUAUUUUCAUCGGAGAAAGGUUGGAGGGUAUGUUGUUAAUUUUCAGGAGGAAUUUGGUGGCUGAGAAAUGCUGUUUCUCGGCAACCACAAGAUCCUUGCGUGGAAGAAUAAUAAUAAUGAUAAAAACUUUUUAAGAGCCUUUUCAAAUGUAAUUGCUUUUAGAUAUUUUCAGCUGCACUUGUCUUUAGCUAAAUUGUGUAUCUGUUUGCAGCCCUGCACUCCUUCAGGAGGAAGGGCAGGAUAGGAAUAAAAAACAGACAGAUUCUCUGCCCUACCUGGAGAUGCUGGGGAUUGAACCUGGGACCUUCUGUAUGUAACCCACUUAGUACCACUUGAACAAAAAUGGACAUGAGCUAAAAUGGUGCCUCCAUCCCAAUCAGUGGCACCGGCCAUACUGAGUCUAAGUAAGGGCAUAAUUUGGCCGAAAUGUUGAUAUUUCCUGGAUCAGAAGCUAUAGUAAGCGGCAUUCCUCAAAUGCAGAAUCAAAAUCCUUUCCAAAGCUUGUUUUUCUUGGCCCAAGUGAUUUAAACCUUCCAAACCACAUAGAAACUCCUCCCUUGGCCUGCUUGUAAAAAUAAUUAUCAACAAUAUAUGAGCAUAAUGUAACUGCUGUUAAAAAUAAACCCAAACAGUAGAAUGUCAGCAGAGAAAACUUCUCUGUGACAAGAGUUUUCCUCUUCCCAUUGCAAUAUAGGUUAGGAGAUGGUUGAAGAAGGUUGAUUCCUGCUGGAGGGGGCAGAUUAGGGGUGGGUAGGUGUGGAUGGGUGAGGGGGAGAGGAAUUACUGUUGUUCGGAUUUCCAUAUGUGUAGAACAACAACUUUCAUUGUGUUGAUGCAGCCUAGAAUAGCAUUAGCUUUUUUGCUGCUGCAUUACACUGUUCUCAUGUCUGGUCUACUAAGACCCCUAGAUCAUUUUCACAUAUACUCUGGAAAGCCAGGUGUCCCCCAUCUUACAUUGGUGCAGCUGGUUAUUCCUGCCAAAGUGUAGAAACCUACAUUUGUCCCUAUUGAUUAUAUAACAUUUCCCCUUCGUUUUCAAGAUAAUAUUCAUGGUCUGCAAAACCAUAACCGAGAAAGCCAAAUGUUUGCAGCAGAAAAGCACCCUUUUAGCAGAAAGUUCCAUGACAGGAUGAGUCUCUUUUCCUCGACUCCUGCCUGCCGUGCAACAUCCUAAGAAAGGAACCAGUGGAAGGAAUAAAUAACAACAAGGAGGGAGGCAGCCAGAACAUCUGUCAGCCAAAUGGCAUCUUGAGGGUGACGCCCAAACUUCCAGACGGCACUCUUGGCCUCCAACCAGAGAAUGAGUGAAUGUGGACCAGCGCCUGGCAGCCAGCCAAAAUGGAGCUUCAAAAAAGGCAGCUAUGGAGAAAGUGGGUUUUCUGUGGAAAGUUCCAUCUAAUCCUGCCUGCUUUCUUGCUUGUCUCAAACGGGUGUCACUGGAUGAGAAAGCAGAGUGGCUAUUCUGGGAUGGUCGAAAUGGAAUAGAAAAUAGUCUGAGUCCUCCACUGCCACAAAACUUGUCUGAACUGUACUUGCAGAAGAGCUUCCCAGGGCUCCUUUGAGAGGGUGGGUGGAAAAGAAAGCUGAUGGUGAUGAUUAUGAUUAUGAUUAGAAUCUGGCAUGACUUCCAGUAGCAACAGUGUGGUGUAGUGGUUAGCGUAUUGGACAGGUGCCUGGGAGAACAAUCUCUCUCUCUCUCUCUCUCUCCCUCCCUCCCUCCCUCCCUCUUCCUCUCUCCCACUCCUACUCUCUCACUCUCAUUUCUUUCUACAUAUUAAAUUUGAUUCAAGCCUCCUUCUGAGCCAUGAUUGAAAAUUAGAAAAUGCUGUAUACUGAUCUAUUCUUAGAGCAAUAGUUCAUGUUCUGAUGAGCUUCCACUGGGCUUCAGAAUGAGAAGAAUUUAAUUUGUCCACCGCCUCCAAUCUCUGUGAACAAUUGUGUUGGUCACAUAAGGGGAGAACUCUCUUCUUCUUCUUCUUCUUGAAUUGAUUUUAGAAUGUAUUUCAAUUAACUGAUUGUGAUUUAUUUAAUAAAUCAGUGUAUUAUUUUC
rnacentral:lncRNA from 1 species